ensembl:snRNA U6 U6 spliceosomal RNA
GUGCUCACUUCAGCAGCACAUAUACUAAAUCAGAACGAUACAGAAAAGACGAGCAUGGUCCCCGCAUAAGACUGACAUGGAAAUUCAUGAAGAGUUCCCAUAUUUU